rnacentral:rRNA from 1 species
AUGCGGCGUGCUUACCAUGCAAGUCGAACGAUGAUCCCAGCUUGCUGGGGGAUUAGUGGCGAACGGGUGAGUAACACGUGAGUAACCUGCCCUUAACUCUGGGAUAAGCCUGGGAAACUGGGUCUAAUACCGGAUAUGACUCCUCAUCGCAUGGUGGGGGGUGGAAAGCUUUAUUGUGGUUUUGGAUGGACUCGCGGCCUAUCAGCUUGUUGGUGAGGUAAUGGCUCACCAAGGCGACGACGGGUAGCCGGCCUGAGAGGGUGACCGGCCACACUGGGACUGAGACACGGCCCAGACUCCUACGGGAGGCAGCAGUGGGGAAUAUUGCACAAUGGGCGCAAGCCUGAUGCAGCGACGCCGCGUGAGGGAUGACGGCCUUCGGGUUGUAAACCUCUUUCAGUAGGGAAGAAGCGAAAGUGACGGUACCUGCAGAAGAAGCGCCGGCUAACUACGUGCCAGCAGCCGCGGUAAU